rnacentral:rRNA from 1 species
AUUGAACGCUGGCGGCAGGCCUAACACAUGCAAGUCGAACGAGUGGCGGACGGGUGAGUAAUGUCUGGGGAACUGCCCGAUGGAGGGGGAUAACUACUUGAAACGGUAGCUAAUACCGCAUACCAUCAGAUGUACCCAGAUGGGAUUAGCUAGUUGGUGGGGUAACGGCUCACCAAGGCGACGAUCCCUAGCUGGUCUGAGAGGAUGACCAGCCACACUGGGACUGAGACACGGCCCAGACUCCGACGGGAGGCAGCAGUGGGGAAUAUUGCACAAUGGGCGCAAGCCUGAUGCAGCCAUGCCGCGUGUAUGAAGAAGGCCUUCGGGUUGUAAAGUACUGUCGGCGGGGAGGCGUUACCCAAAGAGAAAGCAACGGCUAACUCCGUGCCAGCAGCCGCGGUAAUUC